rnacentral:lncRNA from 1 species
GAGAAGGCUUCGUCCUGACCGGCCUAGCUUUUCCUGUCCCGGAUGCAAUGGCACCUCGCCCUGGCGGCGGCAGCUGGUUGCAGCCUACGCCUUCUAUCAGCACUUCCAGAAGCAGCCUCCCGCGAGGCGCCCCUUUCCUCAAAGGCCACAGCCUUGGCUCUCAAAGCCCCUCCUCUAGAACCCUGGUCCUAGCAGCAGCCCGGUAGCAGCGCUCCCUCCUCCACAGGAGGAUGGAAGAGAGACCAAGAGAACAAAUGAGUGACUUAAUAACCUCACUUUACCCAGAGAAUGGAAAAUAAAAUGCAAGAUUCCAAACCCUGCCGUUUCAUUUCAUCUAUGAAAAAUACAGGAAAAGGUGGGCUGUUUUGGCUUCCUACCAUGGAUGAGGAUCUUGAAGGAGAAACUUGGCAGAGCUUCUCUAUUCCCUGGGGCUUCAGCAAGGCGGUAGAGGAUGAAGAAGAGCAUAUAUGCCAUAUCCUCAGAACAGUGAUUGGAAUUAUGCAGGAGAAACAAAGGAUUAGGCGGAUCCUUGGAGGCCCAUUAUCAUAA